GACGGAAGGUGCAAGCGUUGCUCGGAAUCACUGGGCGUAAAGGGUGCGUAGGCGGCUUGGUGGGUCUGGUGUGAAAGCCCCGGGCUCAGCCCGGGAAGGGCACUAGAAACUGCCGAGCUGGAGUGCCGGAGGGGAGAGUGGAAUUCCCGGUGUAGCGGUGAAAUGCGCAGAUAUCGGGAAGAACACCCGUGGCGAAGGCGGUUCUCUGGGACGGUACUGACGCUGAGACGCGAAAGCGUGGGGAGCGAACAGG
rnacentral:rRNA from 1 species